rnacentral:rRNA from 1 species
UAGGGUGCGAGCGUUAAUCGGAAUUACUGGGCGUAAAGGGUGCGCAGGCGGUUGAGUAAGACAGAUGUGAAAUCCCCGAGCUUAACUCGGGAAUGGCAUAUGUGACUGCUCGACUAGAGUGUGUCAGAGGGAGGUGGAAUUCCACGUGUAGCAGUGAAAUGCGUAGAUAUGUGGAAGAACACCGAUGGCGAAGGCAGCCUCCUGGGACAUAACUGACGCUGAAGCACGAAAGCGUGGGUAUCGAACAGGAUUAGAUACCCUGGUAGUCCACGCAGUAAACGAUGAAUACUAGCUGUCCG